GGUCCUACGGGUGGCAGCAGUCGGGAAUAUUGCGCAAUGGAGGCAACUCUGACGCAGUGACGCCGCGUAUAGGAAGAAGGUUUUCGGAUUGUAAACUAUUGUCCUCAGGGAAGAAAAAAGACUGUACCUGAGAAGAAAGCUCCGGCUAACUACGUGCCAGCAGCCGCGGUAAUACGUAGGGGGCAAGCGUUAUCCGGAUUUACUGGGUGUAAAGGGAGCGUAGACGGCAGGGCAAGUCUGGAGUGAAAGCCCGGGGCCCAACCCCGGGACUGCUUUGGAAACUGCCAUGCUAGAGUGCUGGAGAG
rnacentral:rRNA from 1 species